rnacentral:rRNA from 1 species
GGAGUUAGCCGGUGCUUCUUCUGCGAGUAACGUCACAGAUGUAAGGUAUUAACUUACACCCUUUCCUCCUCGCUGAAAGUGCUUUACAACCCGAAGGCCUUCUUCACACACGCGGCAUGGCUGCAUCAGGGUUUCCCCCAUUGUGCAAUAUUCCCCACUGCUGCCUCCCGUAGGAGUCUGGGCCGUGUCUCAGUCCCAGUGUGGCUGAUCAUCCUCUCAGACCAGCUAGGGAUCGUCGCCUAGGUGAGCCUUUACCUCACCUACUAGCUAAUCCCACCUGGGCUUAUCCAUCAGCGCAAGGCCCGAAGGUCCCCUGCUUUCCCCCGUAGGGCGUAUGCGGUAUUAGCAGUCGUUUCCAACUGUUAUCCCCCACAAAUGGGCAAAUUCCCAGGCAUUACUCACCCGUCCGCCGCUCGUCAUCUUCAAAGCAAGCUUUUGAAAUGUUACCGCUCGACUUGCAUGUGUUAGGCCUGCCGCCAGCGUUCAAUCUGAGCCAGAUCAAACUCUGA